rnacentral:rRNA from 1 species
ACCCGCACAAGCGGUGGAUGAUGUGGUUAAUUCGAUGCAACGCGAAAACCUUACCACCUUUGACAUGUACGGAAUCCUUUAGAGAUAGAGGAGUGCUCGAAAGAGAACCGUAACACAGGUGCUGCAUGGCUGUCGUCAGCUCGUGUCGUGAGAUGUUGGGUUAAGUCCCGCAACGAGCGCAACCCUUGUCAUUAGUUGCUACAUUCAGUUGGGCACUCUAAUGAGACUGCCGGUGACAAACCGGAGGAAGGUGGGGAUGACGUCAAGUCCUCAUGGCCCUUAUAGGUGGGGCUACACACGUCAUACAAUGGAUGGUACAAAGGGUCGCCAACCCGCGAGGGGGAGCCAAUCCCAUAAAGCCAUUCGUAGUCCGGAUCGCAGUCUGCAACUCGACUGCGUGAAGUCGGAAUCGCUAGUAAUCGUGGAUCAGAAUGUCACGGUGAAUACGUUCCCGGGCCUU